rnacentral:tmRNA from 1 species
GGGCUUGUAUGGAUUUGACGGCAAGACGAAAUGGUAUGUAAGCAUGCGGAGCAUUGGUAGCUGGCUCCUAAAUAUCAGUUAUCAAACAAUUAAUUGGCGAAAACAAUUACGCUCUCGCUGCCUAAUCGAAGUACAGUAGAUUACUGGCUUUAUUCGACUAUUAGAUAGUUGAACGAGACACUGCUCCAAAGAUGUUGUUCCGAAUCGUAGGAUAAAGCGGUGCAGGUUAAAUCGGAAAUAGUUUGUGUAAGCCUCGUUGCACAGAUGAAGAUUUAGAGGAUAAGGCAUUGGUUGGUGGUUCAGGUCUUGCCAAUGCUCGAAAACCAAAGGCUGAAAUAAGCAUGUAGAAAGCGUAUGGUUUCCUUGUGCGGACCGGAGUUCGACUCUCCGCAGGUCCACUU